GAUGAAGCACGCGAUCACUACCCGCUCACCAAUCCGUCAUGAGUCUGAGGCAGCAAGACAAAGUAGUCUACGAAAAUGUGAACCGGAGGUCGUUUUCUGUCUUUGGUUAUCUAGCUGUAUGAGUGUUAAAUACCUGUCAUAAAGCUAGAUAACCGAAAGUAGAAAUUACUUCCACAUUCUUGUUCUGGUGGAAAAUAAGGCCUAGGGUAUGCCUACAACUAAGUUAGGCCUUUUGACAAGUUUCGCCAAGUUCCACCUCAAAGGCGACUCGUUCACAACAUGGUGUGUUCAAGGAGCACAAAUAGGGGACAGAAUCAUCAACAAAAAGCGAAUGAGGAGGUGAAUUGCCACACAAUACCCCACCCCCUUUACCCACCGGCCUCUAAUGCCAUCUGUACUGCAAAAUGGGAGACAAGAGACGCCGUGCCUAUGCCAAGAGGGGGACAAAGCCAGAUCUCCAGAGGAUGGGCACGCUGAGAGCAGAGAGAGGAGCCAUCUUGGGAGACAUUGCUGCAGAACCUAAGAUGGCUGGGCUGGCAUAAGACGUUUGGAUGUGGAGUGGUCAGUAGGGAGGGAGAUUCUGCAUACUCUAUUGGUGUUCCGGUACAGUAUGGACCAAACCACUAAACAACCAUCAGACUGUUGGAAACCAUCUCUGUCACUGUCAUACAAAGUUUAUACAACCAGAGGACCACGACAAGGAAGAGGGAAGAUUUGUGCAAUUUAGUUUUAUUUGUGUGUUUUUUGUUAGCAAUAGUGUAAUGAUUCGAUUUUCUUUUUUACUACAAUUUGUUUCUAUUUGUCUUUGUUACUUCUUUUUUAUAUUUAUUAUUUGAGUCUUAUUUUUGUAUAUAUUUAUAUAGUUU